rnacentral:lncRNA from 1 species
CUGGCAAAUCUGAUUUUCCUUCGAAAUUAAACUCAUUUCGAAACACUUUCCGAAACAUUACAUCCAAUGGGAAAUUCGAAGAGGUCGGAAAUUGUUUACUUUCUCGAACCGUGGAGAUUUUCAUCAUUGGAUCAUGUAUACGCCGGAACAACACCGGUCAGUUUUCAGUUCGGUGAAGUGACGAAAAUGUUCAACCAGUUCCUCGACUCUUUGAGAUCGCACAAAAGGGUCUCAAAAGUUUUUUGCAGUUACGUUUCAAAGCUUGCCAGGAAGGUUGAUUUCAAGACAGAAAAUUUGGAGUGCGGCUUAUAUGUUUUCUUAAUUUUGUGCGUCAUGUUAUACUGAUAAAUUCACGAAAACAUUCUCAACCAGAAGGACACGCGUUGGUACAAAAUUCAUUCAAUAUUUGAAAUAAUAGCAGAGAGCAGGUGAGAGGAUGAAACAUCGCGCCCAACAUUUCCUCAUCUCAGCGUUGCUGACCGAGGUGGUGGCCGGGUGGAUUUUCGAGACCUCCGGGCCGGGGGCUAAGGAGAUCAUCGACGUGGCCUUCUGGAACAACCGGGCGUUCCUCUGCAUGUCGGACAAGAUGGCGCCGCCGAAGCCGGACAAAAAUGGGACCGACGCUAAUGUGGUGAGCAAGGCGCCGCCGCGGAAAAUCAACUACCUCGGCUCGGCCAUAUUCGAGGCGCCUUGGCCGGAGGACGCCACCCAGAGCUGGGGACUCAAGGCCCUCAAAAUCGAAGCCCAGGAGCUUGAAAGUGAGUGUAUGAAGUUGAAGGCGGCGGUAGCAAUCGACAUCGAUGCGAGAGGUCGGAUGUUUACACUGCUCCUAGGAUCCAAAAAUUGUCAUCCCAGGAUUGCUGUCAUCGACUUAGUUGUAAACCGACAGGUUUCGCGGACGGAACUAACCAACGCUCCGAGGCUAACUUUGCGCUCUCUCGUGGUGGACUAUCUUAACUCGGACACGCGGGUUUACAUCGGAGGCGUCACCGACAAUCUUCUGAUCGUGUACAGCUUCAAGGAGGAACUUUGGUGGAGGGUUAAACUGGAGUCCACCGGAGCCGCGCUGCCGCCCUCUCCCCCCGUUCCCACGGCACACCUCGCCCUCGCCAAAAGAGAGGGCCUUCUCUACAUGACGUCAUCCAAUAGCCAGUUCUUAUUUUCUAUGAGCUUGGAGCAACUUGGUGACAUCGACAGAGCUGAUGGCAAAUCCGAGUGCUCGCAGAACCGGACCCUAAGUCCAAAGCUGGUUGGCGAGAAGCUGGGGAAAUCAGCGGGGUUGAUGUCGGACUCGCGGGGCGGUCUCAUCUACUCUUUGCUCCGGGACUACGCCGUUGUCAGGUGGAACACACAUGCACCCCUCGUCGCCGAAAACCACGAGGUCCUCAUCCAGUCCGCCGACCUUCUCCCCGACGUUCACCAGAUCUUCAAGGACUCCCAGAAGAAUGUCUGGGCCCUCAACGGGCUCAGGAACGAGGAAGGCUCUUACUGCACCCGAAUCCUCAAGCUAAACUGAGCCACCAAGUCUGAAAAUUUUCUACUUUUUUAUACGUUGGAUUUUUUAAUUUUAAUAAUAAGAUUAG